AUUCGCCCUUAGAGUUUGAUCCUGGCUCAGGAUGAACGCUGGCGGCGCGCCUAACACAUGCAAGUCGAACGGCACCCAUCUUCGGAUGGAAGCGAGUGGCGAACGGCUGAGUAACACGUGGAGAACCUGCCCCCUCCCCCGGGAUAGCCGCCCGAAAGGACGGGUAAUACCGGAUACCCCGGGGUGCCGCAUGGCACCCCGGCUAAAGCCCCGACGGGAGGGGAUGGCUCCGCGGCCCAUCAGGUAGACGGCGGGGUGACGGCCCACCGUGCCGACAACGGGUAGCCGGGUUGAGAGACCGACCGGCCAGAUUGGGACUGAGACACGGCCCAGACUCCUACGGGAGGCAGCAGUGGGGAAUCUUGCGCAAUGGGGGGAACCCUGACGCAGCGACGCCGCGUGCGGGACGGAGGCCUUCGGGUCGUAAACCGCUUUCAGCAGGGAAGAGUCAAGACUGUACCUGCAGAAGAAGCCCCGGCUAACUACGUGCCAGCAGCCGCGGUAAUACGUAGGGGGCGAGCGUUAUCCGGAUUCAUUGGGCGUAAAGCGCGCGUAGGCGGCCCGGCAGGCCGGGGGUCGAAGCGGGGGGCUCAACCCCCCGAAGCCCCCGGAACCUCCGCGGCUUGGGUCCGGUAGGGGAGGGUGGAACACCCGGUGUAGCGGUGGAAUGCGCAGAUAUCGGGUGGAACACCGGUGGCGAAGGCGGCCCUCUGGGCCGAGACCGACGCUGAGGCGCGAAGGCUGGGGGAGCGAACAGGAUUAGAUACCCUGGUAGUCCCAGCCGUAAACGAUGGACGCUAGGUGUGGGGGGACGAUCCCCCCGUGCCGCAGCCAACGCAUUAAGCGUCCCGCCUGGGGAGUACGGCCGCAAGGCUAAAACUCAAAGGAAUUGACGGA
rnacentral:rRNA from 1 species